ensembl:lncRNA
GGAGAACCGUCUCUCAACCGAUUGGGCUUGAUCGGGAUGCCCAGCUUAGCAGCUGUAUGUCAUACGCCUCCAUGCAGAAUUUGACAGUUUAUGCCAGAAACAGAUCAAGUCUUGUGCUUGACAAUGAUUGGACAUCAAUCGUUCAUGAUCAAGCUGAAAGCAGGCAGUGGGAAAAUCAAGGUGAAGGACUUGCAUGGCCACCCAUAGGAAGAGCUGUGGGAUAUGAAGGGCCUGAUCAUGACGAGGUAGAGGUCGCAGAGGAGUGUGAGGCCGUGUACGCGGCAGAGGAGGACGAAGUCUGGAACUCCUCUGACCUGAGCCUGGAGGUGAAGAGAGACAUAGUGGAGCUGCUGCACUACAAGAACCGCCUAAUGAAAACAAAUGGGGAUCUGCAGAAGGCCCUCGAUGCGUGUGAGGACUCAAACGCUCACCUGGAAAUUGAGAACUCUGCCUUGAAGAGCCAGGUCAAAAGUAUGAAGCAGUCCAUUCAGGAUGCUGAGCAAUUGAUGGAGGAGAUGGACGGGAUUCGGGGGGCGCUAGGCGACAGUGAGACGGCCAGCAGUACACUCAGGGCCAGCAUCAGCAAGCUGGAAAAGGAAAAGAAAGCUCUGAUUGACCAAAUUGAUACAAUCGCCAAUGAGAUGUCUAACCUUUUGCCUGAGAGGGAAUUGGACGAGAAGAAAAUAACAAAUCUGAGUCAGCAAGUCAAGGCUUUGCAGCAAGAACUAGAGGAGACGAGAAUGCAACUCGAUGAGAAAACUGCAAUUAUUAAGAGUAAAGACUUUGUGAUCAAUCAGCAAAAAGCCUCCUUAGAGGAGUUUGCUGCCAUGGAACAGACCUUGAAGAGGGCCGUGAAGGACCUGGAAGGCCAGUUGGAACUAGCACUGGUCACUGCAGGAGGAAGUUUCCUGCAUCAAGAUGGAACCGUCUCAGCUGCAACUGAGAACCGUUUCUCUCUAGCAGAGGAACUGGGGCUGAUGCCUGGACUUCCGGCAAAGUGUGGACUGGCUGGGUGAGGCCUACCACAGUUUCAGAAAUGGAGUCCUAGUUGCCUGUGCGUUCAGCCUGGGCGUUGUGCUGCCUCUGAGCGUCGUCAGUGCUGCUCUGCCACCCUACCACAGUGGCUCUGGCUUGGGCUGCUCAGACUUUCUCUGGAGCACAGUUCGCCAAAUCCUGCAGCCCUACUGCAGUGUCCAGCACAGCAGCAUGCCACCAUGGUAAAGGCAACAUGUGGCGAGUUACGUGGAAAACGGAACAUGGAAGCUGUAACAGGACAUUGGCACCCAAAUCUCUCCUCAAAAAAGAAUGGUACAGGUUGCAGUUGCCGUCAUAAUUUGAUUUCUCUUUUGGCUGUUUAAUUUCAUUGUCAC